rnacentral:tRNA from 1 species
GGGGAUGUAGCUCAGUGGUAGAGUGCUUGCCUAGGAUGUAAAAAGGCCCUGAGUACAAUCCCCAGUAUCACAA